UGGGGAAUAUUGGGGCAAUGGGGCGAAAGCCUGACCCAGCAACGCCGCGUGAGGGAAGAAGGUUUUCGGAUUGUAAACCUCUGUUCUUAGUGACGAAGGAAGUGACGGUAGCUAAGAAGGAAGCCCCGGCUAACUACGUGCCAGCAGCCGCGGUAAUACGUAGGGGGCGAGCGUUGUCCGGAAUUACUGGGCGUAAAGGGUGAGUAGGCGGUUUAUUAAGUUGGAUGUGAAAUACCCGGGCUUAACUUGGGGGGUGCAUUCAAAACUGGUAGACUAGAGUAUCGGAGAGGGAAGCGGAAUUCCUGGUGUAGCGGUGAAAUGCGUAGAUAUUAGGAGGAACACCAGUGGCGAAGGCGGCUUACUGGACGGUAACUGACGUUGAGGCUCGAAAGCGUGGGGGAGCAAACAGGAUUAGAUACCCUGGUAGU
rnacentral:rRNA from 1 species